rnacentral:rRNA from 1 species
GUCUAUGGUUAUACCACCCUGACUGUGCCCUAUCUCAUCUGAUCUCAGAAGCUAAGUGAGGUCAGGCCUGGUUAGUACUUGGAUGGGAGACUUUGAAAAAGAUUGUAGAUA